rnacentral:lncRNA from 10 species
GCCACCAGGAGGAACCCCAGUUGGGUAUCCAAGGCUAUGCUGCAAGUGGAUAUAGCCAGGGAGGGACCUUGAAACGUAGGUCAGCAGAUAGGGCUGCUCUGAUCUGACUGACCCUGUCCCAUGGGCAAGACAGUUCUUUUCUGUCCAUGUCCUGCAGUCAACAAAGGCCAAAGUCACCUAGAGGAGCAUGGUGAACUUUAGGGGAUGGGCUUCCUUGGCCACGCUCCACUGCAACCAUUCCCAUGCCACACCCUCUGGGUUCAGCACAGGCUGGAGUCCUGUCUCUGCCACCUCUCCAAGUAGCUCUCCCUGCCAUUUCAGAUGUCCAUGGGGGUCAUGGGGUCUCCUGCAGCUAGGAUUCCAGAGGUCUGGUAAGAGUGGGCCACUCCUUGCCUAUUUAACUCACUCCCUCCCCAGCAGCCACUGGUGACAGUGGGGGGUAGAAACAAGUCCGGUUCUUGUCAGCCCCAGGCUGGUUCUGGGGAAUGUCUUCAAGGGAUCCAGAGAUGUGACCUGUCUUUAAGUUUCCCAGGAGUGUGUACUAGCACCAGCUCUGAUGGGGGUGGCAAGGGAGUGAUGUAGAUCCUGUGAAAUUCCUUGGUUAUAGAUAGCCUUAGUGUGUUGGCUUUCUCAAAUGCUGGUUGUAGUAGUAAUGAACUGGUCACAUGUACAGACUUAGGACCUCCUGGUUAGCCAGGGUUGUGUAGGCAAUGGUGACAGCUGAGGUCACACACAAGUUUUCUCCUUCCUGGGUGUGGUAUUAUUCAACUUGGAGAUGCUGUAAUGGACUGCGUCAGCUAGCCUCCAGCCAAAAUGUGGCACUUGCAAAAGAGCACCAGCUAUGGUAGUAGCAGUGGGAUUUGUGCUUGCUUUAUGUUACCCAAGAGAGGUACUCCGGUUUCUCAGGUGGUGGGCAUAAAGCUCCCAAAAGUUUCUGUCCUUUGUGUUAAGAUACCAGGCAGGUAGAGGGGCAAAGCCAGGUGGGGGCUGAGUUAGGCAGGUCUUUGGUCUGACUCUCCAUGUGCAGAGCAAGCAGCAGCCCCUGUGGGAGUCAGGAGACAGUUCUCUGGACCCUGGGGUAAUGUUCCAAAGAGGAGCAUAGCUGCCUCUGUUGAACAGAAAAGUACUGCAGGAAAUGUGGAGUAGCAGGCAGUGGUAAGUCCCACCCAGCUCCCACACACUUGGCAAGGCAGAUCUCACACCCACAGCUUUCUACUAGCAGCAACGACCCUAAGUUCCAGGCCAUCUGAGCACAGAACUCAAAACUCCCCCAGGCCAUAUACCUUCUCUGCAGGGAUAACAACCACAGCUUUCAAGCCAUGCAUGAAAAGCGCACCUGCACGACAGGGGUGCCCAGCUCCUAUGCUCAUGAUUGCAGCACACUUCCCACUUACCCCCCAGUUCUGGCUAAAGGAGUUCUUCCCUACUCAAGGU